rnacentral:rRNA from 1 species
UACGUAGGGUGCAGGCGUUAAUCGGAAUUACUGGGCGUAAAGCGUGCGCAGGCGGUUUCUUAAGUCAGAUGUGAAAGCCCCGGGCUUAACCUGGGAACUGCGUUUGAAACUGGGAGACUUGAGUGUGGCAGAGGGGGGUGGAAUUCCGACGUGUAGCAGUGAAAUGCGUAGAUAUGAUGGAGGAACACCGAUGGCGAAGGCAGCCCCCUGGGUUAACACUGACGCUCAUGCACGAAAGCGUGGGGAGCAAACAGG